GGACUACCCGGGUUUCUAAUCCUGUUUGCUCCCCACGCUCUCGCGCCUCAGCGUCAGUAUUUGUCCAGGUAGCCGCCUUCGCCACUGGUGUUCCUUCCGAUCUCUACGCAUUUCACCGCUACACCGGAAAUUCCACUACCCUCUACAAUACUCCAGCUCGCCAGUCUUCGUUGCCGUUCCUAGGUUAAGCCCAGGGAUUUCACAACAAUCUUAACGAACCGCCUACGCGCCCUUUACGCCCAGUAACUCCGAUUAACGCUCGCACCCUCUGUAUUACCGCGGCUGCUGGCAC
rnacentral:rRNA from 1 species